GUCCACCAGGGUCUGUCUGCAGCCAAUCAGAGGAGUGGAGGGGUCAGACUACAUCAACGCCAGCUUCAUAGACGGAUACAGGUGAGGAGGGAGGGGGUCAGACUACAUCAACAGCAGCUUCAUAGACAGAUACAGGUGAGGAGGGAGGGGGUCAGACUACAUCAACAGCAGCUUCAUAGACAGAUACAGGUGAGGAGGGAGGGGGUCAGACUACAUCAACAGCAGCAUCAUAAACAGAUACAGGUGAGGAGGGAGGGGGUCAGACUACAUCAACGGCAGCUUCAUAGACGGAUACAGGUGAGGAGGGAGGGGGUCAGACUAUAUCAACAGCAGCUUCAUAGACAGAUACAGGUGAGGAGGGAGGGGGUCAGACUACAUCAACGGCAGCAUCAUAGACGGAUACAGGUGAGGAGGGAGGGGGUCAGACUACAUCAACAGCAGCUUCAUAGACAGAUACAGGUGAGGAGGGAGGGGGUCAGACUACAUCAACGGCAGCAUCAUAGACAGAUACAGGUGAGGAGGGAGGGGGUCAGACUUCAUCAACGGCAGCUUCAUAGACAGAUACAGGUGAGGAGGGAGGGGGUCAGACUACAUCAACGGCAGCUUCAUAGACAGAUACAGGUGAGGAGGGAGGGGGUCAGACUACAUCAACAGCAGCUUCAUAGACAGAUACAGGUGAGGAGGGAGGGGGUCAGACUACAUCAACGGCAGCAUCAUAGACAGAUACAGGUGAGGAGGGAGGGGGUCAGACUACAUCAACGGCAGCAUCGUAGACAGAUACAGGUGAGGAGGGAGGGGGUCAGACUACAUCAACGGCAGCAUCGUAGACAGAUACAGGUGAGGAGGGAGGGGGUCAGACUUCAUCAACGGCAGCUUCAUAGACAGAUACAGGUGAGGAGGGAGGGGGUCAGACUACAUCAACGGCAGCUUCAUAGACAGAUACAGGUGAGGAGGGAGGGGGUCAGACUACAUCAACAGCAGCUUCAUAGACGGAUACAGGUGAGGAGGGAGGGGGUCAGACUAUAUCAACAGCAGCUUCAUAGACAGAUACAGGUGAGGAGGGAGGGGGUCAGACUACAUCAACGGCAGCAUCAUAGACGGAUACAGGUGAGGAGGGAGGGGGUCAGACUACAUCAACAGCAGCUUCAUAGACAGAUACAGGUGAGGAGGGAGGGGGGUCAGACUACAUCAACGGCAGCAUCAUAG
rnacentral:lncRNA from 1 species